rnacentral:piRNA from 1 species
UAGUUUUGGAAAUCUCUGAAUAAGACUUUU